CACUGCCACAUCGAAGCAUAUCAUCGGCUUCACACAGACACAAGCACAGGCACCAGAGCGCACGCUCACGCACCCACGCACAGGCGGUUGCUGCACCGACGCUGCUGAGCAGGCAUGAAGUUUGGAAAGCGCCUGCAAGAUGAGAUUGUGCUGGAGUGGGCCGACUACUACGUCAGUUACAAGCGGCUCAAACAGUUCAUCCACAACUCCGAGCUCCGCGGCAGCGAGUUCAGCCAUGAACUCUUCAACAUCAUAACAGAGGAACUCGCGAAGGCAGAGGGCCUCUUUCAGCAGCUCAUGACGGACCUGCAGGAGGAGCACGACAGACUCAUGAAGAUGAAUCCCGACCUCCCUGUGGCCCCGGUGACAAAACCGCGCAAGUUCCACCGCCGAAAAAAGGGCAGCAGCGCGAACGACGAAGCAGCAAACGAGGAGACAGGGUUUGUGAGCACCGCCACCAGCUCUGUGUGUGAUCCGUCAGUUUUGGACGGGGAUGCAGUACCACGCCACCAGCGCACCAGCCUUGGCGCGCUCCUCAAGCGACUUUUUUUACUGCUCAUUGGUGACUCGCAGGUGAAGGAAGUGGAGAGCAAUACACCGCGAGCACUCUUCCUCGAGUGGCACUCCAACGCGCAUCAGCUGCAACACUUCGCGGAGUUAAACCUUGAGGCCAUCCGCAAGUCCGCGAAGAAACUGAAGAAGCAUCGCCGCAUGGAAGACGACUGCACGGCUGCCAUCGAGGCCGAACUCGCCCGCUCGCGGCUGGUCACCCUCAUGCCGCGUUUGCGCAACCUCUUGUUAGAUAUAAGCGUGGACUUUGAACGCAAGUUCAAGGUACCGCUGGACCAGUACGCCAACGUGGCCAUGUCGCAGGAGUGGCAUGCGAGGUGGCGCUACAUCUUCGUCGGGACCGCGCUGUUCCUGGUGGUGAAGCGGCUGCCGGUACUAACGGAGGAGCCGGCGGCCCACAACUGCCUAGCCCUUUUCGUGCUCAUAAUCACACUGUGGAUCACCGAGGCGAUUCCGUUCUUCUGCACGGCCAUGCUCAUUCCGCUCUUCGCUGUUCCGUUGCGCAUUGUCAUGGACCCGACGAAGCGCGAGAGCGCGACAGCGACGGUGGCGUCGCAGAUCAUCUUGGGUAAACUCUUCAAUCAUGUUCAGAUUCUUGUCAUGGGCGGUCUCACCAUCGCCAAGGCGUUUUCGCGCACGAAUCUGGAGAUGUAUGCUGCGAGUAUGCUGCAUCGGUGGACGGCGCACCGCCCGUCGCUUUAUUUGCUUGGUGUGAUGUUGUCCAGCUGCCUCUUGUGUGCCUUCGUGUCGAACGUGGCGGCCCCGUUGCUGGUGCUCGGGGUAGUGCAGCGCACGCUGUGGGAGUUCCCAGAGGGGACGAACGCGCCGCACGGCAUCCUGCUUGGCCUCGCCUUUGCGUGCAACGUCGGCGGCAUGCUCUCGCCCAUCGCUUCUCCGCAGAACGCCGUCGCCAUCUCAGCGCUGAGCUUUUAUAAAGUAUCCUUCGCGCAGUGGGUCGGCGUCGCCCUCCCGGUCGUGCUCUUCAGUGUGGUCGCCGCGUGGGCAGUUGUGCUGAUUGUAUGGCGGCCGUUUGUUGAUGUCCCGUAUAUCCCGCUGCAGGUUGUAAACACCGCGGCAGAGGAGCAGGUAUCUUCCGCGACGCGCGCGGUGGUGCUGGUGGUGUCGGCUAUCACAAUCACGCUCUGGAUCCUGCCGGCCAAUCUGUUCUUUGGCGACACCGGCAUCGUGGCUCUCAUCCCGAUUGUCGUGUUCUUUGGUAUCGGCAUCUUGUCCAAGGAGGACUUCAACACGCUCUCCUGGCAUUUGAUGUUCUUGCUUGCCGGAGGUAACAUGCUGGGGCUGUGCGCUCGAGACUCUCGCUUGCUUGACAUCAUUGCUAUGAGCAUGAAGUCAACACUGACAGACUCGCCGCCGUACCUCACCCUGCUGGUGGUGCUCGUCGCCGUGGGCGUCAUCACGACCUUCGUGUCUCACACGGUGGCGGCGAUGAUCUUGCUACCUAUAAUUGUGAAGAUCGGCUUCCUCAUGCCCGAGUCUGCUGGCAUCAUGGCCGUCACUCCACAGUCGAUGGUCAUGCUGUCCGCCUUGAUGUGCUCCGGUGCCAUGGCAUUCCCUAUCAGCUCCUUCCCCAACGUGAACUCGCUGCUGGCCGAGGAUUCGAAGGGUAAGUUGUACUUGCGAGCGAAGGACUUCCUCUUUUGUGGUACGGUGAUCACGCUGGUGUUCACGGCGUGCCUUGUGACAUGGAUGGUGCCCCUCACCAACUAUGUGCUGCCUGCCGACCAUUGAAGGCGACAGGGCGCAUGUGGGAUGAGGAGAAUGCGCACGCUGGAGGAUAGAGGGCAAGGGUGUGCACGCGUCCGUGCAGGCGCUCUCAAGGAUACGACACCGUCUAUCGAACCGCUACGUGCAGACGGACAGCGAGAAUGAUUGCAAGAGAGGGAGAGAGAGCUUGUGCGUCGUGAUAUGCCCUCUCUCUUGGGGAGGUCGCUGCCUUGUGAGAGUUUCUGAAAAACCUAUUCGACUUUGCACCUGUGCUGUCAAUCCCACAUGUCUGCGCGGUCCCUCUGCCUUCCCUUUCCCCGCCUCUAUCUCGAGAGUCCUUCUUUUCUCUUUGCCUUCCGCCUACAUCGACAAAGGAUGGCGCACGUUUUUCCCCCUUCUAAGUCCGUGCCGCGCUGUCUGCGCGUAGGCCGCUCUGAGUUCCCCCAUCCCCCCGCGCCGAAGUGUUCUGGUUGUGUAGCGCCAGCAGAGGCUGCCGUGGUGGAGCGGUUAGACAUGUUCGUUGAGGUGAAGAUGUGCCAUCUUUCGUUUUCGCCAUUAUGUGUGUGGGUGUAUUUGGGAUGGGGGUGCGCUGGCGCUUAUCGUGAGUUCAAGCCAAGCGAACUUUGCGGCCGCGUUUCGUCGGCAGCGAUGGCUGUCGUCGUGGUUGAGCUUCUUGUGACACGGAUCCACUCCCCUCACUCUCAUCAAUUUCCAUAUCGCUUCCACCCCGUCUCCCCACCCCCACUCCAGAUGUGAGGGCUGCUGUUACGUCUCUUAGUGGCGCGAGUGUGUACUCUAUCGAGUGCGUCGCCAUGCACCGCGGGCGGUGAGUUUCGAAUCGAUGCACUCGACGAAGCACACAACGUUAUAGUCGUUUUCUUGCUCCGCCGUGGACAACAGUGAGCGGCAUGACCCUCGGCGCGCUGUGCUGUCCCUUCCUCCACGCACCACCACCUCCGCGCUCUUUGCUCAUUUUGGCACCUUCUCUUUCGCUUCUUUUCUUCGCUGUAUCUCCCGCACGGCAG
rnacentral:misc_RNA from 1 species